rnacentral:rRNA from 1 species
CACGUAGGGCGCAAGCGUUGUCCGGAAUUAUUGGGCGUAAAGAGCUCGUAGGCGGUCUGUUGCGUCCGCUGUGAAAACUCGGGGCUUAACCCCGAGCCUGCAGUGGAUACGGGCAGACUAGAGGUAGGUAGGGGAGAAUGGAAUUCCCGGUGUAGCGGUGAAAUGCGCAGAUAUCGGGAGGAACACCGGUGGCGAAGGCGGUUUUCUGGGCCUUACCUGACGCUGAGGAGCGAAAGCGUGGGGAGCGAACAGG